CCCCUAGAUGUUCUGGGCCGCACGCGCGCUACACUGAACAGUUCAACAAUUCUUAACCUUGGCCGAUAGGUCUGGGUAAUCUUUGAACGCUGUUCGUGAUUGGGAUAGACCUUUGCAAUUAUGGGUCUUCAACGAGGAAUUCCUAGUAAACGCAAGUCAUCAGCUUGCAUUGAUUACGUCCCUGCCCUUUGUACACACCGCCCGUCGCACCUACCGAUUGAAUGGUCCGGUGAAAUCUCGGGACGGCGGCUUGGUCGCUUGCGUCCGACUGCUGAAACUUGAUUAAACCAUAUCAUUUAGAGGAAGGUGAANUCGUANCA
rnacentral:rRNA from 1 species